GGAUUAAAGGGAAAAGAGCUUAGCUCCCUGGUCCCCCUCCUUCGGGGGAUCAAGAUCCGCCGUACUCCGUCCGGCCGUCCGGCUCCAGGCCGGCGCCACCCGGCAGUGGACUGGCCGGAGCCCCUCAGGGCCCGGCAGUGGACUGGCUACGGAAGAGCUUCUUGAUGACCGCAGGGAAGAAGGAGGAGAUGGGGAAGCUGGUGAUGGAGCGGAGGAUUUGCAUCUGGAUGUCCCCAUUCUCUUCAUCCAUCUCUCCUCCCCAUCUGCCCGCUGCCGGCGCACCUCCGCUUCCCAUCUGCUCCUGGCGCCGGGCUACAUGCGGCUGCACGCGCGUGUGCCGCAUCCUCCACGACGGGGAACCGCCGUGGCAGCGCCUUCCUGUGGAGCCACCGCUCAGCCACUGCCCACCGGAUCACGGGCAAGGCCCUCCUCAUGCUGACAAGCAGGGCACACGAGAGGCUCCGCUCACCCAACCUCCUCCUCGGUUGCCCGCUUGUCCAACGCCAGCCUGCUCCGUGUCGUCCGAGAUAAUUGGCACAAUUGUUGGCAAUAGCAACUCUGAACUCUCUUUGCCAUGCUUGAUGCAGCAGCACCAACGCGCUGCUUCUGUAAGCGUCGAAGGAAGUGAACAAAUUCCUGAACACCACUUGGUGCAGGUGAUUCCACCUUCCAGGGAUGCCUACAGUUGUUUGGGGCAUGUAAAUUAUCCUGCUAAAAUUAUAUGGAGGGUCAAAUAACUGCACUUGAUAAUUGCAUGAUGAUGAUGAACUCCUGAAUGAGUUGGGGAACUGGUGCUUGUGGAAAUGCCUGUGUGCGACGAGCUGGUGAUUCUGAUUUCCAAGGACUGCUGAAGAAUGAAGGGAAGGAGAGGUACGGUGUUCUGUACAAGCAGUGGCAGAAGAAUGCUGCCAAUUUCAGCAUUGACGGGCACUACCCAGUGCGGGAGCUACGGGACCGUGCACGGAGCUGCUGGGAGAGGAUUCCAGCACACGAGGGCAAGUCGGUACUUGUAUCUGAAGGUCAUUGGCUUGGCUGGAAACAAGUUGGGAGAUGUGAUUCCUAGCUCCAUCGCAAACCUUUCGAUGAGUAUGGAGUACUUGAGCAUAAGUAGCAACAUGCUACCAUAUUGUGAAGCGAAGGUAACAUAUUAUGAACAAACGUAUAAUAAUGUGAGAGUAAGUAAUGACCUGUAGUAAUGUACGGGCAUUUCUGCUAGUACUCUUAAAAAAACUAAUCUCCUAAAAAUUACUCUAAAAAAACUAAAACCAAGAUAAAACUUAGUACGUCGAGUAUCCUCCACUUCUUCGUCCCGCGCUGCGUCUAAUUAUUGCCGUCCGCUGACCCUGUGCCCAUCUGCGCUCAACGCUUACACCGUUGAUUCUUUGGAUGCCUCCAAGCCGUCCCUCAGCUCCCACGCAGAUCCGCUGCCAUCCGUGUCCCUCCAAUGGAGCCCAAGAUGCCUCCCCAGCUCAUACGCCGCCGCCGCUGCCUCGCCUCCGCCAUCGAUCCCGCCAUCGCAUCCAAGCACGCGCCGCCAUCCGCCUCCUCCAACCCAUCGUCUUCUCCUCUCGGGUGGCCGCCGGCGCAAGCAGAAGGCUCCGGCGGCGACACUGGUGGCCGCCGACUCCUCGACUGGGCUUCGUCACCGGCGCAGGACGGCCCCUGUGGCCCCGGUCCUCCCUCCUCCUCCCCCCGGGCGCCAGCAGCUGGAGCUGGCGGAUCAGGGGGCCUCUCAGGCGGCACCCCGAUAUUUAAUCAACCCUCCAUUGUGGCGCGCUUCUCCCAUUGCAGCGACGAGUUCUCCUAUUACUCGGGCUCCUCCUCCUCCUCUUCCUACUCCGGCGCGUUGGUGAGGUUGUGUGUCUCCGACUCGGCGCGGCGCGGCCGCCCCGUCGACCCCUCCACGUGCUCUUCGUCGUCGCCUCCCUCCGCCGCAUCAAUCCGAAGAUGUUCGCCGAGGCCACAGGCGCGCUGUUCCAUAGCGGGGCAGAGAAGAAGCGGAAGGGAGUGUGGAUCGAGGUUGACAACUACGAGGACAAGAGCGAGAGGAGCAACACGGUGGCCAGCGAGGGGAGCACCGUCACGGCCGCCGCGUCCGCGGGCUCCACGGCCACAUCGGGGAGAUGCUGCCGGCCUCCACGGGCGAGCGGCGGCAGAGUCAAUAACCACCGCUAG